CACCUCUGCACCGACCGCCGAAAGGUCUAAGGUGACGAUUAGAGCAACAGAGACGAGCCGCUUAAGUGCGGGUGAAACGGGCAAUCUCUACGCGCAGCAAUACCAAAUAGGCCAACACGUGAAACUUAGGUUUUGCAACCUGCGUUCCGUAGGUUGUUGGCGGGUAGGUAGCACCGAGCCGCUUGGGUGACCAGCGGCCCAGAUGAAUGACGGUCACGGUGGGGGCAACCCCACUGCACAAAAUCCGGCGUAUCGGCCAGCUUCACAC
rnacentral:RNase_P_RNA from 1 species